rnacentral:rRNA from 1 species
UACAGAGGGGGCAAGCGUUGUUCGGAAUUACUGGGCGUAAAGGGCGCGUAGGCGGCCCGCUAAGUCGAACGUGAAAUCCCCGAGCUCAACUCGGGAACUGCGUCCGAUACUGGUGGGCUUGAAUCCGGGAGAGGGAUGCGGAAUUCCAGGUGUAGCGGUGAGAUGCGUAGAUAUCUGGAGGAACACCGGUGGCGAAGGCGGCAUCCUGGACCGGCAUUGACGCUGAGGCGCGAAAAGCUAGGGGAGCAAACGGGG